rnacentral:miRNA from 1 species
AGCAGGAUAGCAGGGCAAUUCUCCUUUGGCAAAGAAGGAGUAUGCAUUUGCAUGGCCACCUUGCCAAUAAAGAAUAGCCCUGUUACUCCUUUA